GGGACACGUGGUAUCCUGUCUGAAUAUGGGGGGACCAUCCUCCAAGGCUAAAUACUCCUGACUGACCGAUAGUGAACCAGUACCGUGAGGGAAAGGCGAAAAGAACCCCGGCGAGGGGAGUGAAAAAGAACCUGAAACCGUGUACGUACAAGCAGUGGGAGCACCUUCGGGUGUGACUGCGUACCUUUUGUAUAAUGGGUCAGCGACUUAUAUUCUGUAGCAAGGUUAACCGUAUAGGGGAGCCGCAGGGAAACCGAGUCUUAACUGGGCGUUAAGUUGCAGGGUAUAGACCCGAAACCCGGUGAUCUAGCCAUGGGCAGGUUGAAGGUUGGGUAACACUAACUGGAGGACCGAACCGACUAAUGUUGAAAAAUUAGCGGAUGACUUGUGGCUGGGGGUGAAAGGCCAAUCAAACCGGGAGAUAGCUGGUUCUCCCCGAAAGCUAUUUAGGUAGCGCCUCGUGAACUCAUCUUCGGGGGUAGAGCACUGUUUCGGCUAGGGGGUCAUCCCGACUUACCAACCCGAUGCAAACUACGAAUACCGAAGAAUGUUAUCACGGGAGACACACGGCGGGUGCUAACGUCCGUCGUGAAGAGGGAAACAACCCAGACCGCCAGCUAAGGUCCCAAAGUCAUGGUUAAGUGGGAAACGAUGUGGGAAGGCACAGACAGCCAGGAUGUUGGCUUAGAAGCAGCCAUCAUUUAAAGAAAGCGUAAUAGCUCACUGGUCGAGUCGGCCUGCGCGGAAGAUGUAACGGGGCUAAACCAUGCACCGAAGCUGCGGCAGCGACACGAUGUGUUGUUGGGUAGGGGAGCGUUCUGUAAGCCUGCGAAGGUGUGCUGUGAGGCAUGCUGGAGGUAUCAGAAGUGCGAAUGCUGACAUAAGUAACGAUAAAGCGGGUGAAAAGCCCGCUCGCCGGAAGACCAAGGGUUCCUGUCCAACGUUAAUCGGGGCAGGGUGAGUCGACCCCUAAGGCGAGGCCGAAAGGCGUAGUCGAUGGGAAACAGGUUAAUAUUCCUGUACUUGGUGUUACUGCGAAGGGGGGACGGAGAAGGCUAUGUUAGCCGGGCGACGGUUGUCCCGGUUUAAGCAUGUAGGCUGGUUGUCCAGGCAAAUCCGGAUAAUCAAGGCUGAGGUGUGAUGACGAGGCACUACGGUGCUGAAGUAACAAAUGCCCUGCUUCCAGGAAAAGCCUCUAAGCAUCAGGUAACAUUAAAUCGUACCCCAAACCGACACAGGUGGUCAGGUAGAGAAUACCAAGGCGCUUGAGAGAACUCGGGUGAAGGAACUAGGCAAAAUGGUGCCGUAACUUCGGGAGAAGGCACGCUGGUGUGUAGGUGAAGCCCCUGCGGGUGGAGCUGAGACCAGUCGAAGAUACCAGCUGGCUGCAACUGUUUAUUAAAAACACAGCACUGUGCAAACACGAAAGUGGACGUAUACGGUGUGACGCCUGCCCGGUGCCGGAAGGUUAAUUGAUGGGGUUAUCCGUAAGGAGAAGCUCUUGAUCGAAGCCCCGGUAAACGGCGGCCGUAACUAUAACGGUCCUAAGGUAGCGAAAUUCCUUGUCGGGUAAGUUCCGACCUGCACGAAUGGCGUAAUGAUGGCCAGGCUGUCUCCACCCGAGACUCAGUGAAAUUGAACUCGCUGUGAAGAUGCAGUGUACCCGCGGCAAGACGGAAAGACCCCGUGAACCUUUACUAUAGCUUGACACUGAACAUUGAGCCUUGAUGUGUAGGAUAGGUGGGAGGCUUUGAAGCGUGGACGCCAGUCUGCGUGGAGCCAACCUUGAAAUACCACCCUUUAAUGUUUGAUGUUCUAACGUUGGCCCCUGACCGGGGUUGCGGACAGUGUCUGGUGGGUAGUUUGACUGGGGCGGUCUCCUCCCAAAGCGUAACGGAGGAGCACGAAGGUUAGCUAAUCCUGGUCGGACAUCAGGAGGUUAGUGCAAUGGCAUAAGCUAGCUUGACUGCGAGCGUGACGGCGCGAGCAGGUGCGAAAGCAGGUCAUAGUGAUCCGGUGGUUCUGAAUGGAAGGGCCAUCGCUCAACGGAUAAAAGGUACUCCGGGGAUAACAGGCUGAUACCGCCCAAGAGUUCAUAUCGACGGCGGUGUUUGGCACCUCGAUGUCGGCUCAUCACAUCCUGGGGCUGAAGUAGGUCCCAAGGGUAUGGCUGUUCGCCAUUUAAAGUGGUACGCGAGCUGGGUUUAGAACGUCGUGAGACAGUUCGGUCCCUAUCUGCCGUGGGCGCUGGAGAAUUGAGGGGGGCUGCUCCUAGUACGAGAGGACCGGAGUGGACGCAUCACUGGUGUUCGGGUUGUCAUGCCAAUGGCACUGCCCGGUAGCUAAAUGCGGAAGAGAUAAGUGCUGAAAGCAUCUAAGCACGAAACUUGCCCCGAGAUGAGUUCUCCCUGAGACUU
rnacentral:rRNA from 1 species